UUGCAUUCUCCUUCUAGUGCACGGUGACGUGUGGCCAGGGACUCCGGUAUCGCGUGGUUCUCUGCAUCAACCCUCGAGGAAUGCACUCCGGAGGCUGUAACUCCAAAACCAAGCCCCACAUAAAGGAGGAAUGCAUCAUCCCCACCCCCUGCUAUAAACCCAAAGAGAAAGUUCCGGUAGAGGCCAGGGCGCCGUGGUACAAACAAGCUCAAGAGCUAGAUGAAGGAGCUGCUGUGUCAGAAGAGCCCUCG